rnacentral:lncRNA from 1 species
UUUGUCCAAACUCUUCCUUUUAAAGAACAUUAAAGCCUGGAUCACCCCUAUGAAAUGCUAUUAUGUAACAGCAUGUAGUUUGAAAGUGUACUCCACUGUUUGUAAAAAGAAAAUGGUUUCCGCUGAUGUAAAAAAAGCUGUAAGCACUGGUUAUUCAGUGAACUCAAUAUAAGUAGCCCAAUCCACACUUUUUAAUAAUUCUCCUGCUUUCCUAUGGAACAGAAGCAAUUUAUGUUCUCUAUUUCUUUUUAUUUCUGUCUAUCAUGCUCACCGUAUGGUCCCCAGAAGUCUUUGUAAUUACAGUAAUGCAGGGAGUCGUAGUAUCAUUUUGUAAAUGAAGAAAUGAAACACAGCUGGGGUAAAUAAACCAAGUAAAAAAAAAGUUAAGUUUUUUUUUUUUUAAGUGAAAAUUUAAAUCCAAUUAGUUUUCAGUAUUUGGGGAUGUUGCUCAAUCUAUAAAUUUGUUUGUUUGUUUGUUUUAAAAUCUAUUUCUCUUUGUGUAUCUCAAGAACAGAGUAAGACUCAACUCAAGCAUUUUUAGAUGUAAUUUACAUUCAGAAUGUGGAAGACUGAUGCAUUUCUAGUCUUGGAAGAAAUGAUGAAAAACCAAAAAGUAAAGGGAAUGUGAAACUCAAUUUAUGCUGGAAACUGAAAAUGACAGGGUCUUUUUGGAUGGUGGUUGGCAGCCGACAGCUCCUUCUGAAACAGAUUUUUCCAUCUCCCUUGGAAAUCCCUUUACAAGGCUGUGCGUUUUUAUUAAGAAGAGCAAAGGUGCAGAGUGAGGAAGAGUGUGAAGAGGGACUUGAGGAAUUUCCAUUAGCACAUCCCAAAAUUGCUUUGAGAGACCAGAAGCUGCUCAGAAGCACCAGUUCUCUUCUGCACAAACAGAAUUGAAACUCAGCUGCUGCCAGACUAAUAAAAUCUGUUAAUCAAAUAACA